AAGGUUUCCCAUCAGCCACCUUUAAAACUGAGGGGCAAAAAGCCUUUGUUUCCUAUUUCUCAUACGUGAAAUGAGAUAAUAAUUCCUCUGAGGCUUGAUUUGCUGAUGUUUGUAAAGCUCAUGGUAGCUUGGGGGUUUCAAAGGGUUGAAGUUCUGUCUAGUGUAAGUACUUUGACUUCAGCAAAGCUAUGAACCAGAUAAACAUCUCCAUUUUAUGCUAGUAGCUCCUAACUAAUCUUAUUAAAACCUUUCCAGACCCAGAUCAAUAUCUGAAAUGCACUCUGUUCUGUAAUUAAUCUGAUGAGACAUGCUAUCUAUGUUUACAGGUCCCUUCACAUUUUUCUUUAGAGUUUUUUAUUUUCAAAUUAAACUGGUUAAGGAGGUGCAGGGUUAUGAUCUUUGUUUCUGAGUAGCUUUUUCAUGGACUUAUUAAAUAUCCUGUACUGAGUGCGCUCAGUAAUUCAAUGAUCCUGCCCUGGUGAAUGCAGUUGGAUACCAGUGUCUAAGAGACCGUGCACAGAGUCUGUUUCAGCUCUUCAGGACACGGGCUAUCUUUGAGGACAAUCUUCUGACACCUGAUUCUUGGAAUAAAGGACUAUCUGACUGCAACACCAUUGAUUAGCGAUGGACUAAGGUCAGCUCCCAUUCCUAUCCUGCUUCCUCAGCUACAUGCUGAUAAAAUGAGUUUCACCUGAAGAGUGUGGAGGCUGAGAUGCAGCAGACAGAUCUGGGAUGUGAUCUGACAGGUCAGUGCCGUUCAGAGGGACAUAAAUAUUUCCCGAAGCCAGCAGGUAUUUCCAGGUUCGGUAUCCCUUCCCGUCAUAGGUGGGGCUUAGGGAUCAGGCUGCUUCAUUCCUUCUUCUGUGCUUUUCACCACCAUGUACCGUGCUCUUAACAGUGCUCUCACCCAGAAUGCCAGUGUUUUGGAGCAACACCACCCGGCUCAUUCCAGGGAUACUCAGCCUGCAAUGAAUGCAUUGAUUCAUAGCUUAUUUUUAAAGCCAGAAGGAAUUGCUAUGCUCAUCUGCUCUGACCUCGAGCAUGCAGUGGGCACAGGAGUAUUUAUAGCUCUGUUUACAGCAUUCUGCUCCGUAUACAAGCUGGUGAGGCCAAGCAAAGAGCAGGGUCCCUGCCCCAGUGUAGAUCUGACAGUCCUUACAAGCUCAACUGCUUUAUUAAGGUAUUGCCCUCAAUAAAUGGCAGUGCAUACUAGCCCUGCCAAUUCCUGAGUGUGUGGGCAGGGGGGACUUGCUGUGCAUAUGUACAUCUGUGGCCUGUUUGCAGCAGGAGCAAUAAGCUCCAGGUGCAAGGACAGAUAUCUGGGAAAUCCUGGGUUUGUGCUUUAGCUUUUCUUAGACUCCAUACUGAGACUGCCAUGUAUCUUCUUUUAGGGGAUCAUCUCUCCUAUGUUUCAACCACAUCAAAAAGAUGCAUAAGGUCACUGAAUAAGGUGGUUGAAAUGAGCUGGGAGAGUAAUAAAUAACUUGUAGGGAGGUGCCUGAGAAGAGCAGGACAGAGUCACCACCAACUGCAUGCAGCUGCUACAGCUCUCACACAGCUCGCCCAGCAGUGUGAACAAAUUGCCUGGAAAUGUCGUCAUCAGGCUUCAACUGGCACUAUCUCCCUUUCUGUCUGGGUCAUUGAUUUCCUCAUCUCCUUUGCCUUAAAACUCACAUCAUACAUCAAUUUCUGAGUCUCCAGCACUGAAGCAGCUGCACUGUGCCUUUCCUGCUCAACACCAGCAGCUUUCAGCCUCUGAAGUGUCCUUUACUGAUGCUCGUCUGAAGACCUCCUGAAUGUGCCUCAAGUGGCCUCCCUGCCUGCUACAUAAAAGCCUCUGCUCUGCCAGCUUUUGUUUCAUCACAAGAGGGCUUAGAGCUGUUCUGCUCUCGGAAAUUGGGUAAAAUUUGGUCUCCUUCCUACAAUGACUCAGUGUGCUGGAGAAAUGACUCCUGCCUUGUGCGAGCAGCUAUGGCAGGGCACCGAGCUGUGCCAGCCUCUGCUAGCCACCAGCUACCCUCAGGAGAGCCCCUCAGCCAGCAAGGAGCUGGGGCUGCUCUGCACACGGGUCUUAUGAUUGCUAAAUGUAGAGUCCAUUGAUAAAUAAAGCAAAUGCACAAAGUGUGCAAGAACCAGCAGUUGUUACAGUGUCAUCUUAGCUAACACAGCCUUUUCCUCUGUUCUUUUGCUUUCCUCUUUGUGGCCCUUCAUCAGAGACUUGUGCAAUUUGACUACGUAUCUUUGCGCACCCGAUUAAUAAUAUCAGUUCUCAUCGAAAGAGUUUCCAGGAUUAGGCCUGCAAUGUGCCAUUCAACUCUGAGAAAUGAUUCUGCAAGAGAAAAAAAUCUUGUCUUGCUACUUGCUGGGGCUGUGGUUGCUCUGUGCUUGCACUGAAGUGAGCUUACUCCUAGUCCUGGGCUGCUGCCAUCAUUUAAUGGCCAGGUACCUCCCUGCUCCUGUGUCAGACUUGUUUGCUGAGCUGCAAACUGUUGCCUACUGUAGGUUUGCACAGCUACUCCUGAGGAUCCAGUCUGGCCUGCAGAAACAUACUUGAGUUUUGUUAGGAGUAAUAACGUUUUGCCUCUCCUCAACGUUCGCAAACUGAGUGCAUCUGAUGUGGAAAUAAGUGCAAGAAAUAAGCUCUCAAAUGUGCACCCCUUACUCCUAAAUUAAUGGUGAUCUUACUGUGAAUAACUUCACUCACAAGAAGCGUCAGAUAAAUUGAGUUUACUUAAGGAAGAGUGUUCUUCCAGAACACAGCUCUGCUGAUCUUUGUCUUUCUAGAAAGCAAAUUGUCGGUCUCUUUGUUUUGCAGCCAAAUUCUUCAUCCUAGGCCUGGAAUAUGUAUGGAAAAAUAUUUCCAGAGAUUCUCCUGUUAUAAAUAACCUGGAGGAGGUGAAGGACUCUGCAUAGCAUGCUGCAAAAGGGGUGGAGAAAGAGUUCAUCUCUUGGAGAGAAAAAGAAGAAUCUUCAUCUUCAAGCUGAUGUUUGUAGUGUGUGCUCAGGGUGAGUCACAUGAGAGGCAAAUUGAGAUAAGAGCAGAGUCCUGAAAGAAAAUGACUGAUUUUAAUCUCUGUUUCCCUGCUUACAGGGUCUUUGCUGCAGAAAUUAAAAAGCUGUUCUUCCCUGUAAUGUCUCCUUGUUAAAAGAUCAUCACCAG
ensembl:lncRNA